GCUAGACAAGCUUAGUUGGUAAAGCACUCGUCUAGCAUACAAGAGUCCUGGGUUCAAAUCCCAGCCGAGCA
rnacentral:tRNA from 1 species